UACGUAGGGCGCGAGCGUUAUCCGGAUUUACUGGGUUUAAAGGGUGCGUAGGCGGCGGGAUAAGUCCGUGAUGAAAUGCCGGGGCUCAACCUUGGGCGCCGUUACGGAUACUGUUCGGCUUGAGUGCGUCCGAGGCCUUUGGAAUGAGUGGUGUAGCGGUGAAAUGCGUAGAGAUCACUCGGAACACCGAUUGCGAAGGCAGGGGGCCGGGGCGCGACUGACGCUGAGGCGCGACAGCGUGGGGAGCAAACCGG
rnacentral:rRNA from 1 species